rnacentral:tRNA from 1 species
GGGCAUGGUUCAACGGUAGAACAGCGGUCUCCAAAACCGUCGAUGAGAGUUCGAUUCUUUCUGCCC